GUUCGCACUCAUCGGGGAAGGGUGAGAACCUUCGACUAAGGUUCGAUUCGAGCGAAGCGAGAGAACGUUGCCACAGGCAACGGCCCGAAGGGUGAGGAGCGAAGCGACGAAUAAUCCUUCCCCCACCACCA
rnacentral:sRNA from 1 species